rnacentral:rRNA from 1 species
GGCCGGAACGUUAGUGGCUCUUGAAGUCGUUAGCGGUUCCUGGUCAUCCGCACGGGAAGCUUAUUCGGCCUUCACUGGUCGGUCUGUGGAUCGUGCACUUUACUUUGAAAAAAUUAGAGUGUUUAAAGCAGGCAAUCGCUUGAAUACAUUAGCAUGGAAUAAUGAAAUAGGACGUUCGAUCCUAUUUUGUUGGUUUCUAGGAUUGACGUA